UGGAAAACAUACCGACGGCGCUUCACCAAAUUUGCAAUCUUCAUUUUUCCUUCUCUUUUGAUGUUAUAUAUCUUGCAAUCGCCUAUAGCAAUCCACGAGACAAGCUAUGAAAAUAGAGUUCAUGGGUCGUCAUUCCAUACAUAAUGAUCAAAUGAGAAAUAUUAACGUUGUCUCAUAUUUGAUCGUCUUAUCUAUUGUGCUUUAAUGUAUCAUUUGUUUUGGAAAUGUUCAACUUAAAUAUUCAACGGUGAUUUCUUUGAUUAGAUACCGGUAAGAUGAUCAACAUACACCUCCUCCAAUUUUAUUAUAUUUUAUUUUGAA